GGCGAGAUGGCCGAGCGGUCUAAGGCGCCAGACUAAGGUUCUUCUUGUUCAGCUGAACGCCAUCUGGUCCGAAAGGGCGUGGGUUCGAAUCCCACUCUCGUCA
rnacentral:tRNA from 1 species